GAGAGGUUAUGUUGCAUCGAACUCAAAGGAUGAUCCUGCCAAGGAGGCUGCCAGCUUCACUUCUCAGGUCAUCAUUAUGAACCAUCCUGGUCAGAUUGGCAAUGGCUAUGCCCCUGUCCUUGAUUGCCACACCUCACACAUUGCUGUUAAGUUUUCUGAGAUCCUCACCAAGAUUGACAGGCGAUCUGGGAAGGAGCUUGAGAAGGAGCCCAAAUUUUUGAAGAAUGGUGAUGCAGGUUUUGUUAAGAUGAUUCCCACCAAGCCCAUGGUUGUCGAGACCUUCUCUGCGUACCCACCUCUCGGUCGAUUUGCUGUGAGGGACAUGCGCCAGACUGUGGCUGUGGGAGUCAUCAAGAGUGUUGAGAAGAAGGAUCCAACUGGUGCUAAGAUCACCAAGGCUGCUGCAAAGAAGAAGUGACACAUGCAUUCUAAAUGGGCUGUGGCUAGAGGCUUUGGGAAUUUAGUAGUUACUAGUGUUGCUUUGAUUCUUCAUGGUGUUUGCUAUAGGUUUUGGUCGAUGCCAUUGUCUCUAUUUGGCAGUUGGUUGCAGAACUGGGUGCUUGAUAGGCGGUGGUGGAGACCCAUGAGGUUUUGUUGAGUCCCAUGGCGUUUUGGUGUGUUUUAGUGAUUCUGGUUUCCAUCGUACCUAUCUUUCCAUUGAGACUUUUUCCAAAGCUGCUUCAGAGUUUUUAGGUCUGCUCCUGAGCAGCUAGGAUAGUUUUGUUAUAUUAAGAUACGCCAUCUUUUAAUGUUCAUGGAUUUUUAAUAAAUUACUUGUUUUAAUCUAUUCUGCUAGGUGAAGUAGCAAAUAAUGUGAUCUAGUUUUCUGGCUUAUUUCCUCUUUGAACCUUAAUCUGCCUGUCGUGCAUGUGGAGAAUUGUGUAUCUUCAUUUUCUUGUACUGUUUUUGGUACGUAUUCUUGUAUGUUUUUUCAGGUUCGGAUGUAAGUUAUGAUCUUUUUUUCAUUCCCAAUUUACAGGCAUUGGGAUUCCUAGUUAAUGGAGAGAAGGUGACAAUGGCUUAACUGGGAUAACCAAUUUACAGGCACUGGGAUUCCUAGUUAAUGGAGAGAAGGUGACAAUGGCUUAACUGGGAUAACCAAUUUACAGGCACUGGGAUUCCUAGCUAAUGGGGAGAAGGUGACAAUGGCUUAACUGGGAUUCCCAAUUUUCAGACACUGGCUUAGCUGGUUGAUGUGGUAUGUUUAGGUCUUUGGAUUCAUAAGGUCUUUUGAUCCUUGCUCGGUGUCUUGGUUGAUAUGUCGAGCCUCAUGUUCAUGGCCAUUUGAUAACACAAUGGGGGAGGUACAUGCAGAAUGGAAAGGCACUGCUGAGAAUGGAUCUUGGAAAUUUUUGUUUAUCCCUCUCUCCUGGGAUGAACCUUGUAUGCUGCUGAGCAGGCUUUCUUUUUGUUUUCCUUGAAAAGGGAAGUCUGCUCAACCACAGCCCCGCAUUCUCGUGAUGCUAUCAACCUUGUGAAGGUUCUAACUGAGGCCAAAGGGAUGAUAAAUUGAAGGACUGGACAGGAGCUCAUGUUUCUAAAGAAUCGUAUAUUAACAUAGCACAAUUUUGGCCGUUUUUCUGAGUGAAAUCAGGCAGAAUUCUUAGUGGCAGUGAUUGAAUAUCGUUGGCGGCACUAAAGGUUGUGUGAGAAAGCUGCUAAACUCGUUGAAUAUCCGAGUGUCUGAAACUGGUGUCGAAUUGUCAAGUUCUAGGGGUUGUUACGUUGUCUUUGGGAGUUGGGGUCAUCUGGAGUGCAUGUUUGCACAAUGGGUGAGAUUUUAUUGCCCAUCUUAUUUUGUACGUUAGACAUGUUUAGNNNNNNNNNNNNNNNNNNNNNNNNNNNNNNNNNNNNNNNNNNNNNNNNNNNNNNNNNNNNNNNNNNNNNNNNNNNNNNNNNNNNNNNNNNNNNNNNNNNNNNNNNNNNNNNNNNNNNNNNNNNNNNNNNNNNNNNNNNNNNNNNNNNNNNNNNNNNNNNNNNNUUUUUUUGGUACAUGAGCAGGAAAGGUUCCCAACAGCAUAAAAAACACAAAAAAUUGUCCCAAGGACUACUCUCUAACAAAGUGGAUUCCAUAAUCAUCCGCAUAUGGCAAAGCUCUCACUUCCUAAGACUUGAUUCUGUUAGCUUCAUAAUCUUCAUUAUCUGCUGGCUAAUUGGCUUCCCUGAAUAUGUGGCUUGCGAAGAAGAGACCGAGGGGAUUAGGGGAGAAGCAAAAUGGAUUAUGUCUGAAAGCAAAGGGUGCUUUGUAGCCAUUGAAAGCUUGUUGAAAUGCUCCCUAAUCCAGUUGAUUAUAGUGCAUGGUGAAAGCAGCUUAAGUUCCUCCGGAGGAUUCUUGCACGAUUGACUGCCAUAAUAACUUGCAGCGUAUGUGCUGCCUGCGGGCUGCUGGUCAAUUACAAUAUAAGCAGUUUGAUAUAAGAAAUUUUUUAGUUCGGUCCAUCUUUGUUUUAGUUUUCAAGAUUGUAAUUAAUCCACAGUAACUUGCAGCCAAGCUGCACACAACAAAAGCAUGUGGCGUGUUUAAUUGUGGCUUACAACAGCUACCCCUAAAAUAAACUUGGUUUUUGUUGGUUUCAUUGGAUGUUGAUUUUCUUAUGAAUCAUUCAUCGAGUUUAAGGUUGGGCAUGUCUUUUUGUUCAAUUAGAUGUAGAUCCAAAUUGAUAUAUUUGUGUUGCUUCUUUUUUUUUCCAAAAAAUAAUGAGUACUAGUCUUUUUCAAUAUGGUUUAGACUGAUCAUCAUGCACUGCCAGUCUGCUAUGUUCCCUGAAUUAAACACAAGGACAAGGCAAGAAUGAAUGGAGAUUGGACAAAGAGAACCCCAAUGAGAUUAUUGAUUUCAUGUGUUUUUCCACUUCCCCAGUGUUCCAGCAGGCAGCAUAGGUUAAGUUGGUAAGAGAUUUUUUUUUUUUUGUCUACAACGGAUGACCCACAUCAUCCUAGUAUGAAUACAUCUAAGAGAAUCAGAUCCCAAAGUACACUCAUUGUUGGCAUUGGAUUGGUCCACUGUACUUCACCAGAGUGCUUAACCAUAUAAGAGGCCACCCAAUUCGCAGCCCUAUUAGCCUCGCGGUUGAUGUGUCUCGCAUGAAAAAAAGUGCCUUCUCUCUCCCGUCUCUAGAUGUCGGGAAUUGCCAGAGCAUUGUUUGAGGAGAUGAUGCAUAAAGGGAAACAAAAGACUUGAUUUAGGCUGGUUCACAGUUGAGCAGGAAAGAAUUAGUUUUGAUUUAAUUUGAUCAAUUUGACUUGAUCAUAUUUAAUUCUCACACCAUGCAAUGCGAAUUCUUUUGGCAGAGGCUAAGUUAGCUAUGAUGCAUGCUACUCCACAUGCAAUCCCAUGGGACAAAAUGGGACGCAUCCUGAAAGAAACUUCUCUUUCUGCUCACCUGCUAGUUAUCCCAACUAGCAUCCAUCUCUUACUCUCAUGCACCACAUGCCCACUUGAUGCAUCUUUCAUGAAAAAGGCUAAACUUCAGAUGCAUCUAAUUUCUAAACAAGUAACUAAACUGUGAUCAAAUUGCCUCCAAAACAACAGUCUGACCACGCAUUGAAGCAUCACAGAUUAGGCACUAUUAAUUGUGCCACCACAAACAUGCAGAUAGAAUGUCCUUGCCAUGCAUAUUGUCGAGAGUUACAUAUUGUCUAUUCCAUCAAAAAAUGCUUAGAAUGCAUGUUAAGUGCAACACAAAAACUUCUUUAACCUCUAAUGCUGACUUGAUAACUUAAUAUUCGAUCAUGUCUCGUAUAUUGUAUUAGUUUACGCGAGUUACACCGAUCCUCUAGUAUCAUUCUUUAGGAAAAGGUAAUGUGCAUGGAUGUCAAAUACUUCUCAUUUUUUUUUAAAAAAAAGGCCGCAAUUUUCUUUUCCUUAUUAAGGGGAAAAAUAUGUUUUUGAGGAGCAAAUAAGAGGUUGGGUGUUUCACAUGUGAAUAUGGCUAAUAGUAUUGUAAAAACUUAUAUUUUCAAUAUUUUCUUUUUCACAUUCAUAGUUAUUGGAGUAUUAUUUUGGGUGCAUGAGAUAAUAUGUAAUAAUAAUUCAACAGUCUAGUAAAAUAAUUUAUUGGCAAAAAGAUUGGAUGCGGAUCAUCGGAUGUGGCUGCGGCUGGAUCUAUCGAUGGAGGCGACCCAAUUAGACUUUUUUUUAAUUCAAUAUUCGAUAUGAGUAUAUAGAGUAUUAAUUGGUUUGGGUUUGGAUUUGGAAAAUGAUAAAUAUUGACGUAAGCCAAAUCCGACCUACGCUUGAAGUUCCCACGCGGGCGCACGUGGUGUUUUCAGGAUGUCGCCAUGUUCAUCUCACGCAGCCUUAAAAAACACGUGGCAUCACUUCAUUCUUACGAUCACAAUAAAUAGUGGGAUGCGUGCAAUACGUAACACCGUCCGAUCCAAAUCCAACGGCACGAAGAGAAACCCUAACGGAGCAAGUCUUGAAAGCUUCGACCCUCCUGGAUAAAAGGCUCGCAGUGCUCCCAUUGAAAGCCCUCUCCACCUCUCGGUUCUCGUCGCCCCAAUUCUUUCUCCGGAGGGUACGAUCUCCCCUUCGCCGACCGAGGUGAGAUCCCCUUGCCUCUCUGUAAAGCCGAUCUUUUUGAUUGACUUUUGGUUAUGUAAAAUCUUGCAUGAAUACUUGAGCUCUAAUGAUAAAUUGGCUUACCUGUCGAUAUAUGUUAUUAGAUCUAGCAGCAGAGGUAUUAGUUUUGCGUGUUUGAUCUAAAUUUCCUCGGACUCGUCUCUGUCUGCUUUGAUUUGUCUAGCUAAGAUUGCUUCGUGGGGUUUCUUGAAUAAAAAGGGUUUGUUUCUGUGUCUCAAGGAAAUCAUAUUGUGAUCUGAGUUUCUUGUGAUAUUGAUCUGAUUGCGUUUUGAAUGAAAUUGUUGAAAGCGAUCGAUGUGGAAGCUCGAGUCCUGGCUUCAUGGCCUUGAUCUGGAUAUCUCGUGGAUUAUUCAUCUCUUUUUUACUUUGAACCGAUAGCAAGCUAUGUCUUGCUUUCCAAUUUUAAUUCUCUUUAUCUUUGAUUGAAAGAUGUUUUGGAGGUACUAUUGUUGAUUAAAGGUGCUGAUUCUUUGUAUAUCUUAGUGAUUUUUGUCUUUCUUUCUUUUCUAGGCCAAUGUCCAUCUUCCUUUGCGAAUGAGUUACUCUGUUCAUCCUUCAUACAUGCUCUUUAAAAGAAGAAAAAAAUAAAAAAAUGAAGUGUACACGUGUAAUACUAUCCUUUUCAACUUUUUGUUCGUGAUUUAACUACCAACUCUUUGUUAGGCGUCAUAUCACUUUGUUUCCGUAGUACAAUAAUAUAGCUUCAAACCACUUUAUUGUUCUGUCGUCAGGAUUUUGAUCUUAACGGGCUUGAUGAGGAUUGUGGUUAUUCAAAAUAUUAUACAAUUACCUUUUCAAAUUGCAAUACAGAUUGUUGAUACUAUGAUACUGGUUAUUUCUUUUUCAAAAGGAAAAUCCCCUUUGUUUGUGUGCUAAGUGGUUGCAUUAACUUGAACUACUUUCUGUAGAAAUAUCAUUCUGGUAUUUUUCUUGUUUAAAAUAUUUUUAUGUCUACCUUUUUUUCCAGUUUAUAGUUACUUGUAUAAUUAAUUACAUUAGUGGAGAUUUGGUUAAUCCUUGCCUAUAUUUUUGGUUGCAAGAGGUUCUAAAUCUAAAAUUGCCUUUGUUGCUGUAUGUAUUACACUGGCACGUUAAGGAGGUUUCAUAUUGUUUGUUAUUUCCGCGCCUGUUGAUGUCCAACUGCAAUGCAUUUUCCCCUAGUUCAUAGCGUCUUGUCUUAACAACUAGGGUUCUUAAAGUUUGGUAAUUUUUUGCUUCUUCUUUCGGCUGCAAGUGGUUGUCACUUUAAGUGACUUGAUGAAUUUGUUCUGGAUGCAUAUAUCAAACUUAGAAACCAGGUAGUUUUCAUGUCAUGAGUUUUUUCUUAUUAACUCUGGAUUUUUGACUCUCAUACAUGUCAAGACGAGUGAACUUAGGAUUUUUCCACUUUAAACUUUCUUUUUGUCUAGCUAAAACUAUAGUAAACUAUAGCUUCUGUUGUUUUGAGAAUUGCAUUGUAUUUCUAGAUGUGACAUAUUCUGGAGUAAAUCAUGGCUGAGGUUUCUUAGAUGGUAAAGGAAGAUGCUGUGGAUUUUACUAUAAAUUUGUUUAUGUAUUUUCUUAGUUUUGAACAAACCAGGGCAAUAUAUGAUUGGCCUUCUAUAUUUUUGAUGGGCACAUUUACCGCGUUUUCUCUUUUUUUGUUUCUGCAUAGGGUCAUUAAGAUUUUGCUCUAGUUGUUCGUCUGGCCUUUUCAUAUGUUCUCCAAGGUUUUCUUUUUCUAUUUCUAUUUUUCUCCCUGCCCCGCGUUCAUUUCUUCCUGAUGAUCCUGUGUGGGCAAUGUGGCUGUCCAUAUAUUAUCUUAGUUUGAAUUAUUUUUGUUGUUACAAGCUAUCCUCUGUACAAGGACCUGUAAUUUGACUUGUUUAAAGUAUACGAGUUUAAAAUUUGGAAUGUGAACUCUGUAUUACUAUUGCAUUUGUUUUCUUAGGUUUUUUUCCUCUCUCAUUGGAUAUAACAAUCUUGUGUUCUUGUUAUUCUUGCCUCACGAUCUUUUUCUUUUUCUUUCUUUCUUUCUUCUUCCUCCUCUUCUUCUCUCUCUCUCAUAGCCAUCAUGGGAAAGGAAAAGGUACACAUUAACAUUGUGGUCAUUGGCCAUGUUGAUUCUGGCAAGUCGACCACCACCGGGCACCUUAUCUACAAGCUUGGUGGUAUUGACAAGCGUGUGAUUGAGAGAUUCGAAAAGGAAGCAGCUGAAAUGAACAAGAGGUCGUUCAAGUAUGCUUGGGUUCUUGACAAGCUGAAGGCCGAGCGAGAACGUGGUAUCACAAUUGAUAUUGCUCUCUGGAAGUUCGAGACCACAAAGUACUACUGCACUGUCAUUGAUGCCCCUGGGCAUCGUGACUUCAUCAAGAACAUGAUCACAGGCACCUCCCAGGCUGACUGUGCUGUCCUUAUCAUAGACUCCACAACUGGUGGUUUUGAAGCUGGUAUCUCAAAGGAUGGACAGACCCGUGAACAUGCAUUGCUUGCCUUUACUCUUGGUGUCAAGCAGAUGAUCUGCUGCUGCAACAAGGUAGGAAUGUUGCUGCCUGCUUCUGUGUCUUCGUUGUCGUUAACACUACAUUUGCCAUUCAUUGUUGGAAAAAGGUUUUAAAUGAUGUCUUCGAUGACUUAUUGUUGUCAUCUCUUUUUUCAUGGUUUUUGUUCCUAACCAAUCCUGUGUUGCAUGGCCUACUCAAUUAUGCAUGCUUUUGAAGUGUUUUAAGAGUGGAUACUGUCUUUUCGUGUUCAGGUGAUUGUGUCUGCUCUGUGAAAUUGGAAUCAUGAUUUUUUUUAUUAGUUUUGUUUAUUUUAUUUUGUAUUUCCCUACUGUCUUAUUUUAGGAUAAAAAAAUUGAGGUUGUUGUUUUGUUCACAGAGCAUAUGUUAGAUGCAUGCGCAAUUCAUGUUCAGAUUAGAAGGUUUGGGUUCAAAUUCGUCAUGAGUUUUUUCUUACCAAUAUGCUAAUUUACGCUGAACUUCUUUCGUCUAUUUUUUUGGUGCAAUUUCUUCCUUGAAGUGUGUAACCUAUCAAAGUCUCUUUGUUUUUUGAUUAUAUGCCCUUGUUUAUUUGUGAUGCUUCACUGUUCUAGAUGGAUGCCACUACUCCGAAGUACUCGAAGGCUAGGUAUGAUGAAAUUGUCAAGGAAGUUUCUUCCUACUUGAAGAAGGUUGGUUACAAUCCUGAGAAGAUUCCCUUUGUUCCCAUCUCUGGGUUUGAAGGCGAUAACAUGAUUGAGAGGUCCACCAACCUGGACUGGUACAAGGGUCCCACCCUUCUUGAGGCCCUUGACCUGAUCCAGGAGCCAAAGAGGCCCUCAGACAAGCCCCUUCGCCUUCCUCUUCAGGAUGUCUACAAGAUUGGAGGUAUUGGCACUGUCCCAGUUGGACGAGUUGAAACUGGUACCCUCAAACCUGGUAUGGUUGUUACUUUUGGUCCCUCGGGUCUGACAACUGAAGUCAAGUCAGUUGAAAUGCACCAUGAAGCCCUCCAGGAAGCUCUCCCUGGUGACAAUGUGGGCUUCAAUGUGAAGAAUGUUGCUGUCAAGGAUCUCAAGAGAGGUUAUGUUGCAUCAAACUCAAAGGAUGAUCCUGCCAAGGAGGCUGCCAGCUUCACUUCUCAGGUCAUCAUUAUGAACCAUCCUGGACAGAUUGGCAAUGGCUAUGCCCCUGUCCUUGAUUGCCACACCUCACACAUUGCUGUUAAGUUUUCUGAGAUCCUCACCAAGAUUGACAGACGAUCAGGGAAGGAGCUUGAGAAGGAGCCCAAAUUUUUGAAAAAUGGUG
rnacentral:lncRNA from 1 species